CCUACGGGAGGCAGCAGUGGGGAAUAUUGGACAAUGGGGGAAACCCUGAUCCAGCGACGCCGCGUGAGUGAAGAAGUAUUUCGGUACGUAAAGCUCUAUCAGCAGGAAAGAAAAUGACGGUACCUGACUAAGAAGCCCCGGCUAACUACGUGCCAGCAGCCGCGGUAAGACGUAGGGGGCAAGCGUUAUCCGGAUUUACUGGGUGUAAAGGGAGCGUAGACGGCAGCGCAAGUCUGGAGUGAAAGGCCGGGGACCAACCCCGGAACUGCUCUGGAAACUGUGAAGCUGGAGUGCAGGAGAGGUAAGCGGAAUUCCUGGUGUAGCGGUGAAAUGCGUAGAUAUCAGGAGGAACACCGGCGGCGAAGGCGGCUUACUGGACCGUAACUGACGUUGAGGCUCGAAAGCGUGGGGAGCAAACAGGAUUAGAUACCCCAGUAGUC
rnacentral:rRNA from 1 species